AGGACGAACGCUGGCGGCGUGCUUAACACAUGCAAGUCGAGCGGUAAGGCCUUUCGGGGUACACGAGCGGCGAACGGGUGAGUAACACGUGGGUGAUCUGCCCUGCACUCUGGGAUAAACCUGGGAAACUGGGUCUAAUACCGGAUAUGACCUGCUCUCGCAUGGGGGUGGGUGGAAAGAUUUAUCGGUGCAGGAUGGGCCCGCGGCCUAUCAGCUUUGGUUGGUGGGGUAAUCGGCCUACCACGGCGACGACGGGUA
rnacentral:rRNA from 1 species